rnacentral:rRNA from 1 species
GAUGAACGCUAGCGGGAGGCCUAACACAUGCAAGCCGAGCGGUAUUGUUUCUUCGGAAAUGAGAGAGCGGCGUACGGGUGCGGAACACGUGUGCAACCUGCCUUUAUCUGGGGGAUAGCCUUUCGAAAGGAAGAUUAAUACUCCAUAACAUAUUGAUUGGCAUCAAUUAAUAUUGAAAGCUCCGGCGGAUAGAGAUGGGCACGCGCAAGAUUAGCUAGUUGGUGAGGUAACGGCUCACCAAGGCGAUGAUCUUUAGGGGGCCUGAGAGGGUGAUCCCCCACACUGGUACUGAGACACGGACCAGACUCCUACGGGAGGCAGCAGUGAGGAAUAUUGGUCAAUGGGUGCAAGCCUGAACCAGCCAUCCCGCGUGAAGGACGACUGCCCUAUGGGUUGUAAACUUCUUUUGUAUAGGGAUAAACCUACCCUCGUGAGGGUAGCUGAAGGUACUAUACGAAUAAGCACCGGCUAACUCCGUGCCAGCAGCCGCGGUAAUACGGAGGGUGCAAGCGUUAUCCGGAUUUAUUGGGUUUAAAGGGUCCGUAGGCGGACUUAUAAGUCAGUGGUGAAAGCCUGUCGCUUAACGAUAGAACUGCCAUUGAUACUGUAAGUCUUGAGUAUAUUUGAGGUAGCUGGAAUAAGUAGUGUAGCGGUGAAAUGCAUAGAUAUUACUUAGAACACCAAUUGCGAAGGCAGGUUACCAAGAUAUAACUGACGCUGAGGGACGAAAGCGUGGGGAGCGAGCAGGAUUAGAUACCCUGGUAGUCCACGCCGUAAACGAUGCUAACUCGUUUUUGGGCUUUAGGGUUCAGAGACCAAGCGAAAGUGAUAAGUUAGCCACCUGGGGAGUACGCUCGCAAGAGUGAAACUCAAAGGAAUUGACGGGGGCCCGCACAAGCGGUGGAUUAUGUGGCUUAAUUCGAUGAUACGCGAGGAACCUUACCAAGACUUAAAUGGGAAUUGACAGCUUUAGAAAUAGAGCUUUCUUCGGACAAUUUUCAAGGUGCUGCAUGGUUGUCGUCAGCUCGUGCCGUGAGGUGUUAGGUUAAGUCCUGCAACGAGCGCAACCCCUGUCACUAGUUGCCAUCAUUCAGUUGGGGACUCUAGUGAGACUGCCUACGCAAGUAGAGAGGAAGGUGGGGAUGACGUCAAAUCACCACGGCCCUUACGUCUUGGGCCACACACGUAAUACAAUGGCCGGUACAGAGGGCAGCUACACAGCGAUGUGAUGCAAAUCUCGAAAGCCGGUCUCAGUUCGGAUUGGAGUCUGCAACUCGACUCUAUGAAGCUGGAAUCGCUAGUAAUCGCGCAUCAGCCAUGGCGCGGUGAAUACGUUCCCGGGCCU